AAUUAACUUUGUCUCAUUAUGGCAUUUAAUUUGAUAUCCAUAAUUUAAAUAAGCUUUUAUUUAUCUUAUAGGUUUAUCAAAGACAAAAAGCUACAAUAAAGAGCCUCUCUGUUGCCAAGCUCACCUUCAAGGAAAUAUCGUGGAUUAUUACUGCCUUGGUUACAGUCAAUUACAGGAGCAGCAGUGUUAUAUGCAAGAAAGUGCCAAGCUCUAAUAAAGGCAGUUUCUAAAAGUCAAAUUUUACUGAAGUGAUGGAGUGAGAACAAGAGUGACUAAGAUAGAGAAAGAAACAGAGAGAGAUGGGGAGAGAGAGAGAGAGAGUGAGAGAUGUUACGAACAAGGCAGAGAAUCCACGAAGAAAAUGUCUUCUCAUCAGACAAAACCCUCUUGCCAUUCCACUCUCCAUGAGAAACUUACAUUCUAAAAUUGAAGGCUGCAACCUUCCUUUUGUUGAUUUUAUGGAGCAGGCUCACAAAAUGGUGAAGAUUAUGAGUUCUAGAACCAAACUCAAAUCUAGAUACCAAGGUUUGAAUCGGGGCUACAGCCAUUACAAGUUAUGUGAGUUUGGUUGUUCUGUUUAACUGCUUUCUGCCAUGGAUUACUCUGUCGUAAAUAAGGGUGAUGAUAAUACAUACCCUAUAGGUAAGUAUUAUAUUAAUAAGAAAAAAUCAGUUAGGACAAGCAUGGCCUAUUUUAAGUGAUGAAUAAAUAUUAGCAAAUGUCAAAAAUGUGAAUGUUUCGUAAUACACAGAUAGCUUUCAAACUACAUAUUCCUCAGACUGAAAUUGCCAACAGUGUAAAGCAUUCUCUUAAUAUUAAUAGUUUUAUUGUAAACAAAUUUCUAGUAAUAUUCUCUCUAAUUAGUUUUACCUGUGUUUAUAGAUGAAUUUGAAACUCCCAUGUACAUUUUUGAAAAAUCAACGAAUACUUACCAAGUUGUUUAAGUGUGUGCCAUUUUAAGGUAUAAGCAUAUGAAUUCCACUGACUAGCAUAAAUGUGGGCAUCUGUUCCUGUCUUC
rnacentral:lncRNA from 1 species